GCAAGAAAACACAAAGAAGCAAAAAAGGACAUUCUAUUUCACUAAAACGUAGACGAUCAAAACUUAUGAUCGACUCUGACUCAUCUGAUAAAUGCAGUAUAUUUCAAGCAAAAUGUUAUAUCAAGGAAAGAAAAGACACCUCGCCAACGACAAAGAGUUUCUUUUUCUAACAAGCAGAUAUUAGCAAAGUUGAGAAAAACACUGACAGAUACCUCCGAUGAAUCUGAUACUGAAAAUAAGAAAAAUACACCAUCAGUAGAAGACAAGACCAGGACAACACCUGUCAGAACUUCAAUUUGUUCUAAUAGUCAUAGUCAAGUAGACAAUUCUAUUGAAACUUGUAGCUCUGGUUGGGAUGACGUUCAUCAAUUGCCUCGGAAUAAAACUUCUGAACUAUGUGAACAAUCAUCAGAUGAGUGGGACUAUUCCAAUGAAAGCGAGUCUGAAAUAACUAAUUUGUGGCAAACUCUAGAUGGUGAAUUUGGAUCUCAAACAAGUAACACGUCAAACGUAAGGGAACACAAAGUAGCUUUGCUCGAGAUUCGUAAAAUCCUUCGGAGUUUAAUUAAAUGUUGAUUGUAAAAAAGUGUAUACACUUUUUUAGUAUAUAUGCAUGUAUAUAAUAUAUACAUACAUAUGUAUGUAACCUAUGGUUAUUGAUAAAAAAUAUGUCAUAAUAGAUAUGACACUUACAAUACUUAAAAAUCACACUGUUAUAAAAAAAAAAUAUUUUAUUCUUUGAACAUUUUUGUUAAAAAACGUUGCUAUAUAAUUAAAGAAUUAAUUUUCUUUAUAAAUAAAUAAAUUUGCGCUAUAAUAUAUAAUAUAUCCGAAUGAAUUCCGGGAAUCACCUGUACUCACCCUAUCAGCGUGGCCGAAUUUAGAAUUUCUUGGCGGCAAUUUUUGAAAAUUUUACAAAUAUUCUGAUAUACUGUAUAUACUGAUUUAUGACGUUAAUACAGAAAUUCUAUAAUUA